GUGCUUGCUUUAGCAGUACAUAUACUAAAAUUGGAAUGAUAUAGAGAAGAUUAGCAUGGCUCCUAAAAAAAAAUAUAUAUAUAUAAUACAUAAAUCAUAUAG